GACGAACGCCGGCGGCGUGCUUAACACAUGCAAGUCGAACGGUGAAGCGCCUUCCUUUUUGGUGGGUGUGGAUGAGUGGCGAACGGGUGAGUAACACGUGAGUAACCUGCCCCCUUCUUCUGGAUAACCGCAUGAAAGUGUGGCUAAUACGGGAUAUUCUGGGUCUGUCGCAUGAUGGGUCUGGGAAAGAUAUUGUUUCGGUGGGGGAUGGGCUCGCGGCCUAUCAGCUUGUUGGUGGGGUGAUGGCCUACCAAGGCGGUGACGGGUAGCCGGCCUGAGAGGGUGGACGGUCACACUGGGACUGAGACACGGCCCAGACUCCUACGGGAGGCAGCAGUGGGGAAUAUUGCACAAUGGGCGCAAGCCUGAUGCAGCGACGCCGCGUGAGGGAUGGAGGCCUUCGGGUUGUGAACCUCUUUCGCCAGUGAAGCAGGCCUGCCUCGUUUGUGGGUGGGUUGACGGUAGCUGGAGAAGAAGCGCCGGCUAACUACGUG
rnacentral:rRNA from 1 species